rnacentral:piRNA from 1 species
UGAGAAGGCCAUGAGGAAUACACUCUCUGC